UACGAAGGGGGCUAGCGUUGUUCGGAAUUACUGGGCGUAAAGCGUGCGCAGGCGGCUUCUCAAGUCAGGGGUGAAAUCCCAGAGCUCAACUCUGGAACUGCCUUUGAUACUGGGUGUCUUGAGUGUGAGAGAGGUAUGUGGAACUCCGAGUGUAGAGGUGAAAUUCGUAGAUAUUCGCAAGAACACCAGUGGCGAAGGCGGCUCACUGGCCCGGUACUGACGCUGAGGUGCGAAAGCGUGGGGAGCAAACAGG
rnacentral:rRNA from 1 species